rnacentral:rRNA from 1 species
GACGAACGCUGGCGGCGUGCCUAACACAUGCAAGUCGAGCGAUGAAAUCCCUUCGGGGAUGGAUUAGCGGCGGACGGGUGAGUAACACGUGGGUAACCUGCCUCAAAGUGGGGGAUAGCCUUCCGAAAGGAAGAUUAAUACCGCAUAAUAUUAGAUUUUCGCAUGAAGAACUAAUUAAAGAAGUAAUUCGCUUUGAGAUGGACCCGCGGCGCAUUAGCUAGUUGGUGAGGUAAUGGCUCACCAAGGCGACGAUGCGUAGCCGACCUGAUAGGGUGAUCGGCCACAUUUGAGCUGAGACCCGGUCCAGACUCCUACGGGAAGCAGCAGUGGGGAAUAUUGCACAAUGGGGGAAACCCAGAUGCAGCAACGCCGCGUGAGUGAUGAAGGUCUUCGGAUUGUAAAGCUCUGUCUUUUGGGACGAUAAUGACGGUACCAAAGGAGGAAGCCACGGCUAACUACGUGCCAGCAGCCGCCGUAACAC